AGCCUGUGCUCCGCAACGGGAGAGGCCACAACAGUGAGAGGCCUGCGUACCACCAAAAAAAAAAAAAAAAUAAUAUAUAUAUAUAUAUGUGGCUUUAUGGGCUACACAGUUUCACUCACGAUUACUCAACUUUGCUGUCGUAGUGUGAAAGCCAUAAAUAAGACAAAAACGAAUGAACGUGGCUAUAUCCCAAUAAGACUUUAUUCACAGAUACUGGUGGAGGACAGGAUUUGGCCAGCAGGCCAUAGUUGCUGACCCCUGAUCUAAAAUAGAAACACGUACAAAUCUACAAGGAAAAAAAAAUGGGCAAAAGACUUGGACGUCCACUUCAUAAAAGAGGCUAUCCACAUGGCCAGUAAACAUAUGAAAAGGCGAAUUGUUUUUUACAUUCCUGAAUUUGGGAUGCAUCUUAACCAUCACACUGUCACAGAGGAAAUCAACCCCCUUGUAGUUCCUGCCGGAUUGGUGAACUGCC